rnacentral:rRNA from 1 species
AUUGAACGCUGGCGGCAUGCCUUACACAUGCAAGUCGAACGGCAGCACGGGAGCAAUCCUGGUGGCGAGUGGCGAACGGGUGAGUAAAGUAUCGGAACGUGCCCAGUCGUGGGGGAUAACGUAGCGAAAGUUACGCUAAUACCGCAUACGAUCUAUGGAUGAAGGCGGGGGAUCGCAAGGCCUCGCGCGAUUGGAGCGGCCGAUAUCAGAUUAGGUAGUUGGUGGGGUAAAGGCUCACCAAGCCGACGAUCUGUAGCUGGUCUGAGAGGACGACCAGCCACACUGGGACUGAGACACGGCCCAGACUCCUACGGGAGGCAGCAGUGGGGAAUUUUGGACAAUGGGCGAAAGCCUGAUCCAGCCAUGCCGCGUGCAGGAUGAAGGCCUUCGGGUUGUAAACUGCUUUUGUACGGAACGAAAAGGUUUGGCCUAAUAAGCUGAGCUCAUGACGGUACCGUAAGAAUAAGCACCGGCUAACUACGUGCCAGCCGCCGCAGUAA